AAAUAACGAAAACUCUUCUCGUCCCGAAAAUACGAAAACUGGGACUUUGGCAAAUCCUCCGAUCCCUAAUUCAUUCACCCCUCGCAGCGCGUUUUCUUCUCUUCGAUCUCCCCUUCCUGGCGACGGCGGCGAAAGAGACUGCGGCGAAGGCGACGAAGCGUAAGCUCCCCCUCUCCUCUCUCUUUUCUCCUCCUCAACGGCGGCUGGUAGUGGGUGCCCUAGGCAGGCUCCUGCUUGCCGCGUCCGCCCCCUGGUGGUCGGCCAUGGCCGCGUCCGGCCCCCCCUGGCAGUGGAUAACUCGCUUGCCGAUCGUGGGUGCCGUUUAGGCAGGCUCCUGCUCGCCUCUCCCGUCCCCUGGUGGCCGGGUGUGGCCGCGUCCGACCCCUGGUAGUCGAUAAAUCGCUUGAUCCGACGCAUGUACUUGAGUUCGUAGUGCUUCUGGGAUCUAUUUACGUUUCUCCCUUGUUUUUUCCGUCUGUGUUUGGUUUUGGGAUGUGCCCAGUGCUUUUUGUAGUUGCGACAUCGAAUUAGUUUUAGUUUGCAGCUGAAUUUACUUGUGUCAAGCUGGGCGUCGUGAGGAGGGCUGCUGGUGCAAGGUAGAGCCUAAUCAGGAAUUUCGAGGUUUAAUUUGUGAGGGAGCAAAUGUUCUUCCUUCAAAGUUUAUGGAAGAUGUUUUUCGUGAUGGAUAUGGAUGCAGAGCAAGAUUAAUCUAAACAGUCUACUUAUUUUCGUUUAAAGAUGAUUAUUAACUGAGUUAGCUACUUUCAUUGCUAGGUGGUUAUUCACAUGUGGCUUUGAUGGUGAUUAAUAUUUAGGCAACUUAUGUUAAAGACUAGUGAAAGAGAAGUGUGGGAAGACAUUCUAUCUAGUCAUUUCCAACUAUCAACUACUGUAAUGUUAUUGAGCAUCAAGAUAUAGACAUGUUGGAUUGGUAGCUGCACCCGAUGGUCGGACUAUGUUGCGGAUUGUUAGGGUUGUUUUAUCUCAGAUGGUCAUUGGGUGGCGACAUACAUAACAGCAAAUUUUAAAGACCGAUUGUGCCCUUUUGGCACUACGUGGAGGCGUGUAGACAGGGAUGAAAGAUUUUUAUUAUGAUGAAUUUCUAGUCAGUAAAAUUUAUUAUCAAGAUUUUUAUUAUUUUUUUAUAAUAAAUUGUGAACUUAUUGUUGCAAAAAAGAUAUAUCUAGAUGUAAGAUACGAUAAUUACAUAAUAAGUGUUAUUUGAGAAAUAA